rnacentral:lncRNA from 1 species
UGGAUGCUUCCCAUUGGUUAGAACUUUUCAACUCUAAACUAUUAAAUCUUUUCUAGUAUAAUCCCUUCAUCUCUUCCUCCUUCUUUAAUUUUAAAAUCUCUCCCUCAUUUUCAAAAUUGCGUUGCUGGUAAUUUUCAACUUAGACUUGUUUUAUGAGUAGAAACCUUAGCCUUAUGCCAUUGAUUUUCAAAAUAUUUUCUUAAUCAAAUUUGUAAAUAAACUUAAUCAUAUUGACCUUAUUUUCAAAGAGACUCAAAAGAAC